UAUCUCUGUAGAGUCUGCAUAUCAAUAAGCGGAGGAAAAGAAACUAACUAGGAUUCCCCCAGUAACGGCGAGUGAAGCGGGAAGAGCUCAAAUUUGAAAUCUUCAAGGUUUUACCUUGACGAAUUGUAGUUUAAAGAAGUGUUUUCUGUUGGAGUUUUGGUAAAAGUUCUUUGGAAUAGGACAUCAUAGAGGGUGAGAAUCCCGUAUUUGACCAUUAUUUCCAGCUUUGUGAUACACUUUCAAAGAGUCGGAUUGUUUGGGAAUGCAGUCCAAAAUGGGUGGUAAAUUUCAUCUAAAGCUAAAUAUUGGCGAGAGACCGAUAGCGAACAAGUACCGUGAGGGAAAGAUGAAAAGAACUUUGAAAAGAGAGUUAAACAGUACGUGAAAUUGUCAAAAGGGAAGCGUUUGACACCAGUGUUGUUUUCUCGAAAAUCAAUUAAAAAAGGCAGGAUUUUGUGUUGUAUUGACUUUAUCAGCUUUCUGCACUCUUUUCUUGUCUUUUUUAAUGCACUUUUCGUUUAACAAGUCAACAUCAAUUUCUUUUGUUGUAAAAGGGUCAUUGGAAGGUGGCUUUCUUUUCGGAGAAAGUGUUUAUAGCCUUUGGCCUCUGCAAUCGGAGAGAUUGAGGUCUGCAGCGUAGAUCCUUCGGGGUUAGAUACAUUUGUGCUAAGUUAUAGCCUUUCAUAGACAACUUGUUGACUAUGAUCAGUCAUGUAGCUUACUCGCUUAUGCUAUUUUACCUACGCUUAGGAUGUUGAAGAUGUAGCACAUCAU
rnacentral:rRNA from 1 species